UGUACAUACAGGUAUACACUUGUGUACAUACAGGUAUACACUUGUGUACAUACAGUUAUACACUUUUGUACAUACAGUUAUACACUUGUGUACAUACAGUUAUACACUUGUGUACAUACAGGUAUACACUUGUGUACAUACAGUAAUACACAUGUGUAUGUACAAGUCUGGUUGUGAUACUUAGUUGACACUGCAUGGAAAAGAAUCUGUUGAUGUGUGUGAGAGGCCAUCCCUCGGUUAUCUCUCCAUCCAUCUUCAGGCAGCAUUACUCCUCUCUCAUCCCUUCAUCUUCAGUCCUUCACUCGUCUAUCAGACCUGAGACCUUCUCAGCUUAGGACCUUCUUUUUGCUGGAUGCUUCAACACAGCUUCUUUUCUGACUCGUUUCUGUUCUCUGACUUUAUGUGUUUCUCCACCAAGAAGGAUUUCACAGUCUUUACUUGUUGUUUAUGGAUCUGAUCGAGGGAAGUUGGUGUUUUACGCCGUUUUGUCUUUGGUUUGUUUUAUGAUGGAUCCAGCAGAACCUGAACCUGGUUUGGUUCUGGUCCCGCUGCAGACCCCAGGAAAAUGCUCCUGACAUGCCGUGGGUCUUCUUCUUUACCCUUUCCACCAGUAUAGGAAACAUUUGAUUGUGUUUGAAGAUCCAGAUUGUGGUCACAUGACUGGACCUUAGACCCAGAUCUAAUAAAAGCAGAAGCCCUUGUGUGUGUGAUGAACACAUUAUCAUAACUCUAACAUUAGAUGAAUGAGUGACUUUCACAGGACUUGAAACAAUUCUCAUGUCAUUGACUCGAUGAUAGUCUUGACCUGGACCCACGGGUCCCGAGGCCGGAUGCUGGACCUCGUUAUCUUGAGGGGUAUGCGUUCUCGAUGCUGAUGCUGAUGGCCUUCAGCCUAGACUUGCUUAAUUCUGAGGUUGACUGGGACUCGCUAGUCCAGGUUGGAGACUUAUUGGUCCUGAGGCUGUAGAACUUGAUCUUGACCGUUUCUUUCUAGUCCUGGUUCUGGAUUUGGCGAUGGUGAGAAUGGAUUCAGAGCUGAUGGUCUUGCUGUAACAGUCGGUUUUACGUCUGGACCUGUAGACGUAUGAGCCUUUCGGCUCCAGACCCGUGUCGCCAUGAUGUUUCCGGUCUUGGUGGAGGGUUUAUUUUGUUUAAGUUUUGUUUUGAUCAGUUUUUCUUCCAUCGAGUUAAACGCUGCUCAUGUUGCUGUUCUCCAGUGUUCUUUGCUCUCUCUGUGUCCGUCCAUCCACGUCACCUUUCAGUAGCUCACCUCCAUCCGUUGUCUGGUUUCUCGUCACCUGGACUCUGACGGAGGUCGGAGUCGUGCAGACACAUCUCAGCUGCUUCUGCUUCAGCUGUCAGACCGGCUGUCACAUCAGCUGAGAAGCUCAACUAGAAGAGGGGUGUGAGGGUUAGAAAAGACAGAAGCUCACCGCCGCUCCACCUUAAGGGGAAGUCUGUAGUUUUCCUGCAGGUCUCCUAACAGCAGGGGGCGCUGUCGCACAAACACAUUCUACCUGCGAUGUUUUAGACACGACUGUCACAAACAGUGUUGGGAACGUUACUUUAAAAAAGUAAUUAAUUAUAGUUACUGAUUACUUUGUCAAAAAAGCAACUCAGUUACUAACUGAGUUACGAGAUUAUAAAAGUAACUAAUUACCAAGAAAAAUAACUACUUAGUUACUUUUUUCAUUAAAAAAUGCUAGAAAAUGGGUUCCCCUCUUAAUUAAACUUACUUAAUUUAUUAUAAGUGACUACAGUAGUGAAAUAUAAAUGACUAAUGACUGGAACGUAAUAAAAUGUCCAAAUGUUUUUUAUAAACCUGAAUAAUUUAAAUAAAUAAGCACUUAACAGGAGGAACUACUAACCCUAACAUUACACUUCUCUAGACUAUUAAAAGGUCACUGUGUGAUAUUUAACAAGACCCCAAUCAGUUAAAAUUUAAAAUUGCAAAUAGAAACACUUGUAAAGGUUCCCGAGCCUUUAGAUAGUCUCUCAGUCUAGUUAAAUUACUGAAAUAAGUGUAAUUUUGUACAGUAUUCUAAUUUUUCCAGCUUCACAUAAUUAUUAGCAGCAUUUCUGUUGCUGCUAAUCUAGUAAUGGUUAAAUAAAUAAAUAAAAUCCUUUAAAAUGACACUAGAAGAGGCACAAGCCUGAUGGAGGACUUACAUUUACUAACGUGGGUCAGACCCAACCACAGAAGAGCUGAAGCUGGGUGGUAAACACACACAGGUAGUUCUAGUAACACCUGAGCUCCAUGACGUCUGAGACUGAUGCAUCAGUGUUACAGCGGGACUAAAGACGUGAUCAGGAACAGGUUACAGCUGGAUGAUCUAGGAAGGUAGAAGAUCAGGACGUCUGAGCGGUGAACAGGUGAGCGGACCUUCGGGACGUCCCGCUGUCACGCUAAGAAGGGCACGGCUGCAGAUCCACACCUGCAGCCGUAGACUAUUCAUCACGUCUUCCUCGUUCUCCACGGGCCGUGAUGCGCUUGGAUGCAAACAUCUGCCUCUUUAGCUCCUGAUCAGCUGAUGACAGCUUCAACACACGCGCUGCUUAACGCACGCUUUUCCUUGUCAGUAACAGAAACGACGUUUUGAUAAAAGAAGACGGUAAUUAAUUAGUUUACUCAUUACUAAAAGAAAUAUUUUUGUAGUUAUUUUAAACGGUGUUAUUCCCAUCACUGCUCUGGUGGGUCUACAGCAGGCUGAGACCGUGAGAACACUGAGGGUCUCCGCCCACCCGGCCAAUCAUCAUCGUGUUUGUAAGCGCGUUACCGACACCUCUCUCUCCCUGGCUGCAGCUGAAGUGUGGCGGUCAGAAAGCCUCACACUGUUGCUCAACCUUCCACAAGCACAUAGUAACGCUAACGCACCCGUCUCCAGUAACGGUAACGGUAACGGCGUUGCAACAGCGGGAAAGUAAUUAAUUAGAUUAUCCCGUUACCUAAUUAAGAUCGCCGUUAUACUUAAACGCCGUUACUCCCGACACUGGUCACAAAUAACAGAUUUUGUUGGUUCUAGUCUCCUUGAGGCCACCUCCAGGUCCGAGGACCAGCUCGGGUACCACCGCAGGUGCUCUCAGCCUGGUUCUAAGUCUUGAUUGUGGUUCAACGCUAGAACCAUCCGGCGGAGUCAGGAUGUGUGUUGUUGGUCUUCCUGUCUCUGGCUGACGGGACUUCUCCUCACAGGAACGUUAGAAACUGGAAGUGGGAGGAGACACAUGAAUAUUACAGCGCAUUAGUUAAAGUAGGUGAGCAGAGCUGCAUCGGGUCAUAAAUAUCCCAGCAGGUCUGUGAACGGCACACACCAGUUAGAGGGUAAGGAGCUGUUUGCUGAUCCACCGCAACAUAAUGACCACCAGUUCAAAUGGCUAAACGUUUUCUGUCUGGGGAAUCCCAGAAGAUUCCCAGGUUCAGCUUGGUCCGGAAUCUGGACCCCCACAUCCAGCUGAGGUCUCUGGUCCAGGUCUCAGGCUCAGGUCUCUGAUGUAAAGAGAAGAGAAUUGGAUCAGGGACUCUGGACCUAAAUGUAAAAUGUCUCUCUGAUUCUAACUUGGUACAUUUGGCUUUCUCAUGUAGAAGUUAAGCCCGGUUUUUAGAACCAAACGUUCUCCAAGAGCCGGUGGAUCUUGUGGUUCUGUUGACCCGGUUGUCUGCUGGUUUCCUCGCUGCUGGAAACGGUGAGACUUCCUGGUGUGUUGUGAAGCCAUCGCAGAGGCAGAAGACAGUGUGGAGCAGUGAGGAGGAUUGAAGUUUAAUGAGAUGAGCAUUUGGGGCGAACGCUGCUGAGGACUAGCGGGACGCGGCUCCGCCACAGAGCAUCAUCGUCAGAAGAAGCCGCAGAUACUGUGAGGCUUUCGUUUCCCUGCGGAGUCGGGAAUGUUGCAACGAGCCGUCCGCUGACGCCUCCUGGUUCCGACACAUCUCCACCCCCAAGCUGCUAAAUGAGUCUGACGGCUUUCUGAGCUGUCACAGAUCUUCUUUGUUUUGUUGUAAAAAUAAAGCCGCUGCUUUCAUGCCUGCAGAAACACUCCAGGUGUGAAUUUACACCUUAGACUAAAUAUAACUGAAGCGCGUGUCUCACCACACCAGCUCAGAGUCUGAGGAAGCGCGUGUAACUUCUGUAGCUCCAGAGUCUCGUUAGAAACACAAAGCUGAUCUAAUUAGGCAAUUAGACAGACAAGUUGUUAGACAGGCAAUCAGACAGACUGGUAUAUGGACACAGGUAGUCAAUCAGAUAGACAGCCAAACAAUCAGACAGACAGCCAGACAGGUGGCCAGACAGACAGAAAGGAGGUGAGACAGUCAGUCAGACAAACUGGUAGUCAGACAGGUUGUCAGACAAACAGACAGGUAAGUGGCCUGUAUUUGAUAUAGCACCUUCUAGAGUCCUGGAACCCCCCAAGGCGCUUUACAACACAGUCAUUCACACACUGGUCGGGAUGAGCUACGAUGUAGCCACAGCUGCCCUGGGGCGCACUGACAGAGGCGAGGCUGCCGAGCACAGGCGCCACCGGUCCUUCCGACCACCACCAGCAGGCAACGUGGGUUAAGUCUUGCCCAAGGACACAACGGCAGCGAUAGACUGAGCAGGGCUCAAACCUGCAACCUUCCAAUUACGGGGCGAGCACUUACCACCGUAGCCCUCAGGUGGUCAGACAGACAGUCAGAAAAAGCUUACAGACAGACAGGUGGCCAGUCAGGCAGGCAGGUGGGCAGACAAGUGGUCAGACAGACAGGCAGGCAGUCAGAAAAACAUACAGACAGUCAGACAGAUACACAGGCGGUCAGACAGACAGGCGGCCAGUCAUACAGACAGGUGGCUAGACAGGCAGUCAGAAAAACAUACAGACAGACAGGUGGCCAGUCAGGCAAGCAGGUGGGCAGACAAGUGGGCAGACAGACAGACAGUCAGAAAAAACAUACAGACAGUCAGACAGAUACACAGGCGGUCAGACAGACAGGUGGCUAGACAGGCAAGCAGGUGGGCAGACAAGUGGGCAGACAGACAGGUGGCCAGACAGUUAGUCAGAAAAACAUACAGACAGACAGGUGGCCAGUCAUGCAGACAGAUGGUCAGACAGACAGGCGGCCAGUCAUACAGACAGGUGGCUAGACAGGCAGUCAGAAAAACAUACAGACAGACAGGUGGCCAGUCAGGCAAGCAGGUGGGCAGACAAGUGGGCAGACAGACAGACAGUCAGAAAAAACAUACAGACAGUCAGACAGAUACACAGGCGGUCAGACAGACAGGUGGCCAGACAGUUAGUCAGAAAAACAUACAGACAGACAGGUGGCCAGUCAUGCAGACAGAUGGUCAGACAGACAGGCGGCCAGUCAUACAGACAGGUGGCCAGUCAGGCAAGCAGGUGGGCAGACAAGUGGGCAGACAGACAGACAGUCAGAAAAAACAUACAGACAGUCAGACAGAUACACAGGCGGUCAGACAGACAGGU